UUGCCAGACUCCUACGGGAGGCAGCAGUGGGGAAUAUUGCACAAUGGGGGAAACCCUGAUGCAGCGACGCCGCGUGAAGGAAGAAGUAUUUCGGUAUGUAAACUUCUAUCAGCAGGGAAGAAAAUGACGGUACCUGACUAAGAAGCCCCGGCUAACUACGUGCCAGCAGCCGCGGUAAUACGUAGGGGGCAAGCGUUAUCCGGAUUUACUGGGUGUAAAGGGAGCGUAGACGGCAUGGCAAGUCUGGUGUGAAAGGCAGGGGCUCAACCCCUGGACUGCAUUGGAAACUGUCAGGCUGGAGUGCAGGAGAGGCAAGUGGAAUUCCUAGUGUAGCGGUGAAAUGCGUAGAUAUUAGGAGGAACACCAGUGGCGAAGGCGACUUACUGGACUGUAACUGACGUUGAGGCUCGAAAGCGUGGGGAGCAAACAGGAUUAGAUACCCUGGUAAC
rnacentral:rRNA from 1 species